rnacentral:rRNA from 1 species
GGGGAAUUUUCCGCAAUGGGCGAAAGCCUGACGGAGCAAGACCGCGUGGGGGAUGAAGGUUUGUGGAUUGUAAACCCCUUUUGAUUGGGAAGAAUACUGACGGUACCAAUCGAAUAAGCCUCGGCUAACUCCGUGCCAGCAGCCGCGGUAAUACGGAGGAGGCAAGCGUUAUCCGGAAUUAUUGGGCGUAAAGCGUCCGUAGGUGGUUUAGUAAGUCUGCUGUUAAAGCGCGGGGCUUAACUCCGUAUCGGCAGUGGAAACUACUAGACUAGAGUGUGGUAGGGGUAGAGGGAAUUCCCAGUGUAGCGGUGAAAUGCGUAGAUAUUGGGAAGAACACCGGUGGCGAAAGCGCUACUACUGGGCCAUAACUGACACUGAUGGACGAAAGCUAGGGGAGCGAAAGGGAUUAGAUACCCCUGUAGUC